rfam:Triticum aestivum genome assembly, contig: Triticum_aestivum_CS42_TGACv1_scaffold_434233_5DL
AUUAUACUCCCUCCGUUCCGAAUUACUUGUCGCCGGUAUGGAUGUAUCUAGAUGUAUUUUAGUUCUAGAUACAUCCAUUUCUGCGACGAGUAAUUUGGAAGGAGGGAGUAGUUU